UACAGAGGGUGCGAGCGUUAAUCGGAAUUACUGGGCGUAAAGCGCACGUAGGCGGCUUGGUAUGUCGGGUGUGAAAUCCCCGGGCUCAACCUGGGAACUGAAUCCGAAACUGCCUUGCUCGAGUAUGGGAGAGGGAAGCGGAAUUUCCGGUGUAGCGGUGAAAUGCGUAGAUAUCGGAAGGAACAACAGCGGCGAAGGCGGCUUCCUGGACCAAUACUGACGCUCAGGUGCGAAAGCGUGGGGAGCAAACAGG
rnacentral:rRNA from 1 species